UUUGUCCUCCAGUCAUUCAUCUUGAGAAAAGACGGAGGCAGCAUAGCUAUAUUACGCGUACUUGUGGCUGGGAAGAUACCGAUAACAAGAUGACUAAAAUUGUGAUGCCUUACAUUGGAUUACUUCUCCUUGCCAUGCAUUUUUCAUCACAGGUCCACGCGCAAAAGGCUAGCACACAGUCCCCUGCCAUGAAUGCUACGACCAAAGCUGGCGGCGCGAGUUCUAACAUGACCAAGAUGCCCGAUGUCGCCAAGAACAACACCAUUCCCAAAGGAGCCAGUGCGUCCUUGCAGUCCAGCUCGGUCGCGCUCAUCAUACCCAUCCUGGUGGGGGGCUCUCUACAGGGGCGCUUCUAGAGGGCUGUUGAUCACUGAACAGACACCGGCAAGACUUUAACAUCAGCGACCUAGAUGGGGCGAACUGUUUUACAAAGAGCACAUUUUU